CAGUAGCCGCGGUAAUACGUAGGUGGCAAGCGUUGUCCGGAAUUAUUGGGCGUAAAGGGCUCGCAGGCGGUUUCUUAAGUCUGAUGUGAAAGCCCCCGGCUCAACCGGGGAGGGUCAUUGGAAACUGGGAAACUUGAGUGCAGAAGAGGAGAGUGGAAUUCCACGUGUAGCGGUGAAAUGCGUAGAGAUGUGGAGGAACACCAGUGGCGAAGGCGACUCUCUGGUCUGUAACAGACGCUGAGGAGCGAAAGCGUGGGGAGCGAACAGGAUUAGAUACCCCUGUAGUCCCUGUCUCUUAUAC
rnacentral:rRNA from 1 species